rnacentral:lncRNA from 1 species
AUAUAUAUAUAUAUAUAUAUAUAUAUAAAAUAAAUUGAUUUUAAACACAAAAGCUAUUUAUAUUCAGUCAAUUAAAGAAGUCAAAAUAUAAAUAUUCAUCUCUGUACUCUCUGCUGCUUCUAAGGAUAUUGUUUCAAGAUAGUGUUAUUUUGUUGGACAGUCUGUUCCUCAACGUUGUCUUAAUCCUCUUCAGGGUUGAAAACCCCCUCUCAUAAUAACUUUUGCUUAUACCCCCUUAACAAAAGUUACAUUUCUAAGCCAUGAAAACUCAGUCAGCCACUUGUCACUGAAACCAGAAACAUGGU